CUCUCUAUAGCUCAGUUGGUAGAGCGAGGGACUGUAAUAGUCAACCUUGUCAUCCCUAGGUCCAUUGUUCGAAUCAGUGUGGAGAGA